rnacentral:lncRNA from 1 species
GAGUUUACUUUAACUAUUGUCAUGUCAUGGGAGAUGAAAACUCACCAAAUCUUUUUAGUUCGUCUUGACUUUGUAUUUGUUUAUAUUAUGCACACUCUAUAGAGUUUCACAUUCUCAUGGAUUUGACUCCUUUGUGAUUCAAAUACAUCUGGUAUACUCACUAAUUAGUACUGUUGGAUCCUUGCUCACCUAUAGUUAUAUUGUUGAGUGAGGCAAGUAACUGAGAAAAACAAUUAAAUUCCAAAAACAGAACAAGAAGGAGCCAACCCAUGAAAAAGGGAAAAACAUUCAAGUUCCAGAAACAGAACAAGGAGGAGGCCAAAUCAUGAAAAAUGAUUGAUUUCAAAUUCUCUAAUUUUCAAGACUUAAGGUACAAUUUCACAUACCUUUUUCAGGUUUUUGAAAUUGUAGGUCUCUUUUUCUUGAAAACAAACCACAAUGUUCUAUUUUGAAUGGUGUUGUAGUAGUAUUUAGUAGUUAUUCUUGGAUAGAAGUUACAGUUUUAGUAUUAGAUACAAAAAAUUUAAAAUACUUCACCUGUAGAGUCGACUUUAUAGUAGUUCUGGGAUUGAGAGACUAAUGAUGGUUGGGAAUGAUUUGGUAAUAUUCUUUCCCUUAAUGAGGUAUUAUGUGUGAUUUUGACACACAUAAUAUCUAAUGAAGAAGGUUUUACAUAUUAUGUGAUUAUGCAUGUGGGAUAGGUUUUGCUUAAAAAAAUUGUCGUUCAGAUUUUCAUUUAUUGAAUUGAUAAUCUUAAGUCGAGUAGUAAACUUAAAUGAAAGGAUACAAACAUAGCUAUAGCAUGCUUUUAUCUCUGUCACACACUCAAACUAUUAAUGUUAGAGUUAAGGUUAAUGGCUAAGCGGGUCUAACAGAUCUAUGUACUCCGUCCCUCUAUAUUAUCAUUUUUAGUUUUACUUAGUUGUUCAUUAUCACUUUAUUAGAUUCAGAAGCUACCAUCUUUGCUGAGCUUUGUAAAUCAAAUAGCAUUCUGUAAUAUAUGAUUUUUAGGAGGACAAGAAAAAAAAUUGUCCAUAAUAUCUUAAGACUGCUUCCUGUUAAGGAUAGUCAAGGAGGAAAACAAUGUGAUUGAGAUGACACAUGUAAUUUUAUUUUUCCCUCUUUUUUUUGUUAAGAUAAAUGAAAGUCCAGAGAUAAAUUCUUCCCUCCAUAUAUCAUUUUACUUGUCAAAAGAAAAAAGAACUUGUCACCUAAAAAUAUAUCACUUAAUGAAUUUAUAUUGAGUAGAGAUUUUGGCUCAAUUUUGCUAAAAGAGGACUUGAGCAAAUGUGUACCUUUAUAAGGUGUUCGUAGUGUAGAUAAGAACAUACAUAGCAAGUCAAGUCGGUAAGAUGGAAGUUGGCUUUUAAAAGAACUACUUAAUUAACUUCUAUUUUUAUCACCUUGAUAUAAAUAUGCAGUUUGUGCAAAUAAGAAGUUGAUAGACUUAACAAGAACUUGUGCUGAUUAUUUUUGGUGUGUGCACUUCAAAUAAUUUGCAGGGAACAACAAAUAGUAAUGUCUGGGCACAGAAGAGUUAGAUAUGUACAAAAAGUUGAAAAGUUGAUGUUCUCCAUAGUACAUUGGAUAGUCCAGAUGUUGACACAUUAUUAGUAAUGUCUGUAAAUGCAGAAUGUUUCUAACAACUUCGAGCAUUCUCCCUUUCUUACUUUUUGAUUAUUUCGUUUGGGUGCAAAUUUGAGUCAAUAUUUUAUGUAGUCUACCUUAUCAAUGAUUUUGCAGAUGCUUGAGUGAAUACAUUUUAUUUCCAUACUUGAUCAUCCCUUUCGCUAAUUCAUAUACAC